CGAAAGCCUGACGGAGCAAGACCGCGUGAGGGAGGAAGGCUCUUGGGUUGUAAACCUCUUUUCUCAGGGAAGAAGCACUGACGGUACCUGAGGAAUCAGCAUCGGCUAACUCCGUGCCAGCAGCCGCGGUAAUACGGAGGAUGCAAGCGUUAUCCGGAAUCAUUGGGCGUAAAGCGUCCGCAGGUGGUAGUUCAAGUCGAUUGUCAAAGGCAGUAGCUUAACUACUGAGAGGCAGUGGAAACUGAAAGACUAGAGUGCGGUAGGGGUAGAGGGAAUUCCCGGUGUAGCGGUGAAAUGCGUAGAGAUCGGGAAGAACACCAGUGGCGAAAGCGCUCUGCUAGACCGGCACUGACACUGAGGGACGAAAGCUAGGGGAGCG
rnacentral:rRNA from 1 species